rnacentral:rRNA from 1 species
GACGAACGCUGGCGGCGUGCCUAAUACAUGCAAGUAGAACGCUGAAGAGAGGAGCUUGCUCUUCUUGGAUGAGUUGCGAACGGGUGAGUAACGCGUAGGUAACCUGCCUUGUAGCGGGGGAUAACUAUUGGAAACGAUAGCUAAUACCGCAUAACAAUGGAUGACACAUGUCAUUUAUUUGAAAGGGGCAAUUGCUCCACUACAAGAUGGACCUGCGUUGUAUUAGCUAGUAGGUGAGGUAAUGGCUCACCUAGGCGACGAUACAUAGCCGACCUGAGAGGGUGAUCGGCCACACUGGGACUGAGACACGGCCCAGACUCCUACGGGAGGCAGCAGUAGGGAAUCUUCGGCAAUGGGGGCAACCCUGACCGAGCAACGCCGCGUGAGUGAAGAAGGUUUUCGGAUCGUAAAGCUCUGUUGUAAGUCAAGAACGGGUGUGAGAGUGGAAAGUUCACACUGUGACGGUAGCUUACCAGAAAGGGACGGCUAACUACGUGCCAGCAGCCGCGGUAAUACGUAGGUCCCGAGCGUUGUCCGGAUUUAUUGGGCGUAAAGCGAGCGCAGGCGGUUUGAUAAGUCUGAAGUUAAAGGCUGUGGCUCAACCAUAGUUCGCUUUGGAAACUGUCAAACUUGAGUGCAGAAGGGGAGAGUGGAAUUCCAUGUGUAGCGGUGAAAUGCGUAGAUAUAUGGAGGAACACCGGUGGCGAAAGCGGUUCUCUGGUCUGUAACUGACGCUGAGGCUCGAAAGCGUGGGGAGCGAACAGGAUUAGAUACCCUGGUAGUCCACGCCGUAAACGAUGUCAACUAGCCGUUGGGAGUCUUGAACUCUUAGUGGCGCAGCUAACGCAUUAAGUUGACCGCCUGGGGAGUACGGCCGCAAGGUUAAAACUCAAAUGAAUUGACGGGGGCCCGCACAAGCGGUGGAGCAUGUGGUUUAAUUCGAAGCAACGCGAAGAACCUUACCAGGUCUUGACAUCCUUUGAAGCUUCUAGAGAUAGAAGUGUUCUCUUCGGAGACAAAGUGACAGGUGGUGCAUGGUCGUCGUCAGCUCGUGUCGUGAGAUGUUGGGUUAAGUCCCGCAACGAGCGCAACCCUUAUUGUUAGUUGCCAGCAUUCAGUUGGGCACUCUAGCGAGACUGCCGGUGACAAACCGGAGGAAGGCGGGGACGACGUCAGAUCAUCAUGCCCCUUAUGACCUGGGCUACACACGUGCUACAAUGGCGUAUACAACGAGUUGCCAACCCGCGAGGUCAAGCUAAUCUCUUAAAGCCGUUCUCAGUUCGGAUUGCAGGCUGCAACUCGCCUGCAUGAAGUUGGAAUCGCUAGUAAUCGUGGAUCAGCAUGCCACGGUGAAUACGUUCCCGGGCCUUGUACACACCGCCCGUCACACCAUGAGAGUUUGUAACACCCAAAGCCGGUGAGGUAACCUUCGGGGACCAGCCGUCUAAGGUGGGACAGAUGAUUAGGGUGAAGU